AGGGAAGGAGGUUUAGUCUUACCACGGGGUUUAAGGCCGGGGCUUUCCUCCCAG
rnacentral:miRNA from 1 species